rnacentral:rRNA from 1 species
UACGUAGGGGGCAAGCGUUGUCCGGAUUUAUUGGGCGUAAAGCGCUCGCAGGUGGUUCAUUGCGUCGUGCGUGAAAGACCCCGGCUCAACUGGGGAGGGUCGUGCGAAACGGGUGAACUAGAGGCCAGUAGGGGGAUGCGGAAUUCCGGGUGUAGUGGUGGAAUGCGUAGAGGUCCGGAGGAACACCAGCGGCGAAGGCGGCAUCCUGGACUGGUCCUGACACUCAGGAGCGAAAGCGUGGGGAGCGAUCCGG